rnacentral:lncRNA from 1 species
GGUCUUUUAGUACUUUGAAUAAGCUCUCUUUUUGACUGUAAACUCACUUAAAAUGGAGUUCGGUAGAGAUGUAUGACAUGCCAAAAUUCACGAUGUAAGACGAGAUUGCUGCUCUGUUUCCCGUUGCAAGUAUGAUGCUUGUGUGCCUUUUUGUCGACUUAUACUGGACGUUUUGACUCCAAAAAUUAGCGUCGCCUAGUAGAAUCUUAGUUGAGGUUAGUGAUAUGAAAGUUUGGCAUAUGGUUAAUGCUCUCUCUGAUAGGAUUUUUAAGCUUUUCAGGUGGUAAAGCUUUUAAUUUGGCUUUUGGUUAAUGAGGACUGGUGCUUAGCUCUUCUAUUAUAUGUUAACUCACGGCUUGAAAAUCACCCGAAUUAGAUAUGCUAUAUAAGUUAUGAAUGAGACAAUGCACAUUAUGAUAUCUAUAUAUAUACAUAUUUGUAAAAUGGCAUUUAGAACAUCUUUGUUGUGUAAAGCUAGAUCUUGCAUUUAGUCCCUCAUUUGGUUAUUUGAAAUAGCAUAGUAAGAUAUCUCCUGAAAUAGUUGGAGAGCUGAUUAUUUAUGAAAUGGUUUAAGAAAUUUUUCAUGAAUGUAUUCUUCUCGUGGAUGAAAUUGCAAAGGGUUGUAUGGAUUUGUGACUAGUUUAUUGAAUGAGUUCUAAAAUGGUUUUGUUUUUUACGGGAUUAUGUUGAUGGAUAUGUCUUCUUGUCGCUAUGAUCUGAAAUCAUUGAAGGGUUGUGAGUAAGCAUACAUAUUCUCAGGACGUCUUGAAUGGCCAGGGCCACUGGCUGACAUUAGUGCAGACCUACGCCUAGAAGGGAAUCUUGGUAAGCCUUUUCAUGGGGCGUUAAACAUGGCUAUAGUUUGAUAUGAAGUACUAGAGUAAUCAAUGGACUAAACCGUGGAUGUUUGCUUAAAUAUUGUUGAUCGAGUGACAGUUUCUAAUAUGUUCAAAAUGUUGUUGAAGUGAUUUAACUCAUAUUUGGACUUUUACAUAUAUUAUAUACUGGAUUUGGUUGUGUUUCUGUUACUGUUUAUAAUGUGCAUUGCUGAUGCUUGAUUUGUUGAGAAGAGAUGUGCACUAUUUGUUGAGAGGUGGUAUGCUUAUACCGUUCAUCUCAAUUCUUUUUCAGCUUCCGACUUAUAGGAGGAAAGCUACAUCAGUGGAGGAUUCUUAGGAAUUUGGAUUUUGGGUAUAACUUGAGAUAAUUAUGCGUAUAAUCUGUAAUGGUACUUUUUCGGUUUAGUUUGUCGGUCACUGGAUAUAUAUAUUUCUAUUGGUGGAUUUUAGAACUCUAGUCAUGUAACCAGCUUUUUUUUAUUUUUUUAUGAGACAUUAAUGGAUAUAUUUUUUGAUGACAGGUUAAUGUUGGCUAUGCGUAUGAGACUGCAUCCUUUGGAUAGGAGGACGAUCAUGCCAUUUUCCCUAUGUUUGUAGAGCUAGGGGUGUGACAGUUUUAUCAAUUUGUCCUUUUAAGCUUUGUUCAGAAACAUCAAGCCGUGCAAGUAGUCAUUGUUGAAAAUAUGAUGCCAUGUACAGCGCAAGUCAAGAGGUUGUGUGAGAGAAUAAUAUUGCUUUCUCUCAGUGCUAUUUGCUUCAGCUCUUGUUCUUACUUUUGGGAAUAUAUAUGAUAUGGAGCGUAAUUUGAAAUGUCCUUUGGGAAUUCAAAUUGGGGUAUAAUCUUUAUCGUAGAAAGCAAAAAUAUUCUAUUCUCAUGUAUGAUUUACUUAGCUAUCGAAGUAGAUUUGCUGAAGAAAAGAGCAG